rnacentral:tRNA from 1 species
AGUAGGGUGGCUGAAAAUAAUAGGCGAUAAAUUGUAAAUUUAUUUAUAGAUUUAAUAUCUUCUUACUA